rnacentral:rRNA from 1 species
GACGAACGCGGGCGGCGUGCCUAAUACAUGCAAGUAGAACGCUGAAGGAGGAGCUUGCUUUCUGGAUGAGUUGCGAACGGGUGAGUAACGCGUAGGUAACCUGCCUGGUAGCGGGGGAUAACUAUUGGAAACGAUAGCUAAUACCGCAUAAGAGUAGAUGUUGCAUGACAUUUACUUAAAAGGUGCAAUUGCAUCACUACCAGAUGGACCUGCGUUGUAUUAGCUAGUUGGUGGGGUAACGGCUCACCAAGGCGACGAUACAUAGCCGACCUGAGAGGGUGAUCGGCCACACUGGGACUGAGACACGGCCCAGACUCCUACGGGAGGCAGCAGUAGGGAAUCUUCGGCAAUGGACGGAAGUCUGACCGAGCAACGCCGCGUGAGUGAAGAAGGUUUUCGGAUCGUAAAGCUCUGUUGUAAGAGAAGAACGAGUGUGAGAGUGGAAAGUUCACACUGUGACGUAUCUACCAGAAA